GCGCGAAACCUCCGCAAUGCACGCAAGUGCGACGGGGGGACCCCAAGUGCCACUCUUAACGGGGUGGCUUUUUUGGAGUGUAAAAAGCUUUAAGAAUAAGAGCUGGGCAAGACCGGUGCCAGCCGCCGCGGUAACACCGGCAGCUCAAGUCGUGGCCCUUUUUAUUGGGCCUAAAGCGUUCGUAGCCGGCUUGAUAAGUCUUUGGUGAAAUCCCGCAGCUUAACUGUGGGAAUUGCUGGGGAUACUAUCAGGCUUGAGGUCGGGAGAGGUUAGCGGUACUUCCAGGGUAGGGGUGAAAUCCUAUAAUCCUGGGAGGACCACCUGUGGCGAAGGCGGCUAACUGGAACGAACCUGACGGUGAGUAACGAAAGCCAGG
rnacentral:rRNA from 1 species